CAUACUGUCUCCCUCAAAAAUAAACAUUUAAAAAUAAAAUAGUUUCCUUAAAAUACCAAACUUUGGUAUAAAUACUAUUCUAUUAGAAAAUUAAGUUGUAAUAAAAAUCACCUUGUAUUAAAACAAAGCUAGAAAUGUAUGUAAAAAUAGGAUUUCUGCAACAAAAAGAUGUUUUCGUGAUUGUAUUUUUUGACAAGCUCUUUUCAAGUAUUCAGCUUGUUUUAUACAUACAUACAUAUAUUUAUAUUAGCCUUAUAAUAUCCUUGUUUCAUUGUUGCUGUUCUUUAAACUUUUUAUUAUCCAUAUCUAGUAAAGUUUUACAAGUUCCUCAUACAAGUUGUUUCAUAAGUGGUUUUUAAAUAUAAAUAAGCCUCAACAAAGCCAUAUUUCUCUGAAGGAAUGAAAACAAAUGAAUAGAAAAGUAAGACAAAAAGCAUUUUUGUCUAUCUUGAGGUCUAAGGUAAUGAUAAAGACUUCGAUUUUUCUGUCUUAAGUAAAGCUCGUGACUUACUUGUAAAGCUAUGGCUGCUUCACUUUUCCUUGUGGCUCCCUUUUUGAGCAGUCCUGUGAUUAACAGAAGUCCUCCUGUUUUAAAGGACCGGAGGUUGCUCAAGGAUCCUUUUCCCAAGGAAGGAUGACAUCUAGGAAAAGGAAGUCUAGUCACUGGCUUGGGAACUUUGGAAGCAUUUUCAUAUCCUCUUCACUAGUCCGGAAAUGUGUAUAUUUUUCCAUACGACAUAGUCGCUGUUUCAAAAUAUUGAAAAAAAGACUUGGAAUAGAAUCCCCAUCCCCUUCCUUAUCCACAAUCCAGAAUCUGGAAGUCCUUCCUUUGGGAUCCAGAGAAUUCAUUUCUUCAAACUGUUAAUUCAGAAGUGGCCAAGAAUAGAAGACUGUACAAAACAGGAAAGUUGUGACUUGCUGCCGACUCUUUCAUCGUGCAUGAAGAAAUUAAAAAUGGUCAUCUUCCUUUCUCCUGUCACGUACCUUUCAAAAAGUUCUUUAAGGAGAAAUUCAGAGAUUUUUUUUUUUUAAUUAACAGGGUCAAAUGAAAACGUUGUAAUUAAAACCAAUUAAGGUAAAGCUGCCCACUGGUUAAUACAUAGAAGAUUAUUUUUAUUAUUAAGGCCAGUUAAUGGGAUAAACUGCUUUAAGGGAGUGCUUGGAGAAAAGGUUCUCUUUUAAAUUUAUAAUUAUAUAUCUAUCUGUUGAAUAAAAUCAGACAAAAUUUAACAAAACUAAACAAUAAAUUGCCUUGUUGCUUCCAUAGUCAA